rnacentral:tRNA from 1 species
AAGAGGUUUGUUCAGUAGUUAAGAGCACUGGGUGUUCUUCCAGAGGUCUUGGGUUCAAAUCCCAGUUCUCAUA